rnacentral:rRNA from 1 species
UACGAAGGGGGCUAGCGUUGUCCGGAUUUAUUGGGCGUAAAGAGCUCGUAGGCGGUUUGUCACGUCGGAUGUGAAAUCCUGGAGCUUAACUCCGGGCCUGCAUUCGAUACGGGCAGACUCGAGUGUUGUAGGGGAGACUGGAACUCCUGGUGUAGCGGUGAAAUGCGUAGAUAUCAGGAGGAACACCGAUGGCGAAGGCAGGUCUCUGGGCUGACACUGACGCUCAAGCACGAAAGCGUGGGGAGCAAACAGG